GCGUAGAGAGGCUCAGUCACAGGUUCAAAAGGAAGGCACCCCAGAGGACUGGAGAUGCUUUUGGACAACUGGGAGGGGAGGUGUUCAAGAUGGACAUGAGAGGACGCAACUUUACCUGGCUGAUGGGAGAGACGUCAUGGGCAGGGGGGCCCUUCAGCAGGGCCUGGGGUGUUGCACAGACUGGUGUCUAUGAGCACCUGCCAUGCCACAGUUUAGGUGCUGGGGCCUCUGCAAAGACAAGUCAAAGGGUCUUCUACUUCCCACUUGGACAACUCGAUUCCCUUCUGGUUAAUGUAUUUGGAGAAGCACAGAGACAACUCUUCCAGCCGCUGAUUCCAACUCUUUCCAGGACAGCCCGAGGACGCGGGCAGGACCACGUCCAACAUGGCCCAUACCUGGCUCUCUGAGUAUCAAAUAACAAGAAGGGUCGUGAAUGGGCCUGGGAACAGGCCGGGGGCUUGUGGAAGGAGCUCAGGUUGUGCCCUUUCCCAGGGCACGGGGGCGGCAAGGACAGUGACCGUGGCUUGGGAAAUGCUGCUGGUGGCCUGCUAUCUUGGGAAUGUGCUCAGACGACCAGGGGAUGUUUUUGCAGCCUCUCCUUCUCCUCCCCAUUCCUGGGACGGUACUUUGGACUCCACCACUGUUCCCAGGCACAGAAGAGAAGUCCGAGUCUGCUGUUUUUCAGUGCUCUUGGUGCUGAGUUCGUCACACAAAGCUUUGCCUCUGUAGCUAGCGGUGUGUGCCUGAGUCAAAGCUGGUGUUCCACACGAUGACUGACCUCCACCCAAUACUCUUAUGAGGGAGCAAUUAUCAGGCAUAUUUUAUAAAUAAGGGAACCGAUGUUCAGAGAGGUGAAGAAACUUCCCCAGGCUGGUGCGGGUGGAAAUGAAAUGAUGAAACCAGGACCCGAGACAAGCUCUGGACCCUUACAGGACUGUGACUCAUGCCUUUGCUCACAGAGUGCCAUCUUGGUGGGCCCACUUGCUUCUUCUGUACUGCACCAGGCUCCGUGCACGCUGUGUCACCUUGGUGCCUGACCAAGGCCAAGUCACUUGGCCUCUUAUGUUCCCCUGCAGCACCAGGCUCAAUCCAGGGCCAUUGUGAGAACACAUCAAGGCAAGUGGUGAAAUACACUUCGACUCAUCAGAAAUGUGUUUGGUGCCAACCACUUGCUGGUGCUCAGUACUGAAGGGAACCAUGACUCAGGUGGAGACCCAGAACUCCAGGCUAGCAGUGUGAACCUAGUAGCCCAGAGCCGAGGGAGUCAUCCUGGAUGCAGAUAUGCAGAAGAGGUGAAGGAGGAAAUAAUCCCACACUGGCAAAUAUUUGGAGAAGGUGGGCAUGGAAAGACCUUGAAAGGCCAAUGGCCAGAUGGUGAGGUACUUCCAGAUGGUGCUGUGAGAAUGACUUGGUUCCAGAAUGGGAGUGGACACACGAAUGGGCUGGACCUGUGCAGGUGUGGCAUCUUCCUGUGGCUGUAUUGGAGGAGGUCGUGGCCAGGUGUCUUCGUCUGCGUGGAAUACUCUAACUAAAUACCCAGGGCAUCGUAUAAACAACACACUUAUUUCUUAAGUUCUAGAGGCUGGGAAGUCAAGAAUGCCUGGGGAGGACAUGCUUUCUGGGUCAUGCCUUCUUGCUGUGUCCUCGGAUGAUGGAAGGGGUGAGGAUCCUCUGGGCCUCUUUUAUAGGGCACUCACGCCCACUUCACCAAGGGGACCUAAUUACCUCCGCAAAGGUGCCACCUUCCAAGACCAUCUCCUUGGGGGUUAGUAUUUCAACAUCUGAAUUUCGGGGUGCACAUUCAGAUAAUGGUACCCAUCUUUGAAGUUUGCAAGCCAUGAGGAAGACUUCAACAUAUAUUCUCUAAGCAAGGAGAAGCUACUGCUGAUUUUGAACAGGGAAAUGACUUGACACCAGGUACUGGAGAAGAUCCUCACAGGAUGGACCAGAGGGGCUGGGUGAACCAGAGGAGGGCGAUAGGGUGUAAAGAUUCAGGUGAGAGGUGACGGGGGCUGACCUGGGGCCCUCACAGAGGGUGUGGGGAGGACAUGUGGCAUACCAGGGACACUAAGGAAGGGCAGUGUACAAGCCUGGGUCAUUGUCAGGAGGAGACAGAGAGGGCUUCCUCCCCACACAGCAUAGCUGCCCCACGCCCUGGACACACACCUGAAGGCAGCCUGGCAGAGGGAUGCUGAUGCCUCAAGUUGCUGGCCUUUUAACUUGGCUCAGAGACAGAGGCCCCACCUCCCUCUGCCUUCCUGCAUUUAGGUGAUCUUCCUUCUGAUGACUGUCAUAUAGUCAUACAGUCAUAACUAUAAUAAUUAUAGUGGCAAUAAUAUGAUUCUGAAUGGAUUGAGACUCUUUCUUCUGAGGAUGCUAAUAUGUGGGAGGUGGGGGUG